AUGAACAUAACACAAGGCUGCAAUGCAGGUGGGAUGCUUGACCGAGUAGACAGCUAUGUUUUCACAGGGGCACUUUGUUACUCAUUCAUCAAAGUAGCUUUACCUCUCUUUGGAGUCUGAUGCAGCUAGGAGUGCCCUGUUCAUGUACUUCUGCCUUCAGCAGUAUGUUCGCCAAAUGUAUGAUUGAGCCAAGUCGGCAAGUCCUGCUGAGAUGUCGAAUACCAGUUGUCAUCACUGCAAAAACGUGGCUCUUGCGAAGAGAGUAUGAUAUCUGACUUUGAAGUGAGAUAGAACCAUAGAAUGCGGCUGUUAACUUUGUCAGGAUUGAGCUGUUUUUUCCUUGCCAUAGGCAACCUGUUACAAAUAUGUCACUUCUGGUGUAAAUAGUUUGUUCUUACAGAGUAAAAAGGAAACACAACUGAUUCAUUACAAAAAUUGUUUAAUUGUAUUUGGGCGGCUUCUGGGGAAAGAAGGCCUUUUGGGAUGAAACUGUACUUGGUCACCAUUUUUUCAUGCUUCAUGCCUUGCAUUGUAAAGUGUCAACUAUCUGAUACCCCUUUUUAUCGAAUGUCCAUGGAUCAUGCAUGCAAUUGGAUGGAGCGCAAUGAGAUUGUUACUUAACAUUGUCCAUAAAGAUCGAAAAUUCCAUUGAGUGCUGCAAGAUGGUGAAUGUGAUAUUUGAGAAUGCACGAUUGCAUGCAUUGUCAAGUGUCACUAUCUGAUACCUCUUUUAUCUAAUGUUCAUGCAUGCAAUUGGAUGGAAGAUUGUCCAUAGAGGUAAAAAAAAAAUCCAUUGAGCGCUGCAAGAUGAUGAAUGUGAUAUUUGAGAAUGCACUACUGCACGCUAUGGUUCUAGAUUCCUAGUUUUAUUUUGAAGUGAAAACUUGUUGAACUCCAAAGCUUACCAGCACACGUAGCAUACUGGUUGCCAUCGUACUAUCUAAGGUUGUUAGCAUCAAAGUGAAGGUAGAUGCGUCAAUAAUCUUCACUUCUGAUCAGCUGUAAAUGUGUAAAGCUGAACAUAUAACUGAGAUUAAUAGCAGCCAGCCACUCGGUCGUUGAGAAGAGACGAGAGACUAUUUUCCAGCUAAACCUAAGUGCUCAACGGAUCAAGUGUUUUAAUGGCCAUUUUUUUUAUCACAAAAAGAGCAUCAGCUUGAUUGUAUCAUAUUUACUCAGCCAGCCAGACAAGUUACUUUGGAAAGCAAAAUUGCUCUGUACUGUACAUGUAGGACAGGUUAAUCUCCAAAUACAAGGUAGGAGUAUAUAUCAAAGGCAAAUUGAUAAAAGCUGAAGAAUCCGAUCUCUCAUUCCUCCUCUUAGCCUAACAAAUGAAACAUACUACCAAGUCUUAUCGUGUCAUCUGGUAUCAGCGAUUCUGCGCAGAGGGGAAGCCUUCACGGUGAGAUUUUCUGGAGACAACCAUCAUUUCGAAAGCCAGUAAAUAAUCAAAAAGAUGGUGCAGGCCGCGAUCACUGCUGAAAGGAUGAUAGUGUCCUUUGAUUUCUUCCUCUUGAUGGCACCUGUAGCAAGAAUGUGUAAGAAAGGUAGUGGUGUACUAACUACUAACACAAACUAAAACAAACAUGAUCAUGGAAAGUUGGGAUGCAGAAAUUUCGGUGAAUAAUAGAUUAGCACAUUUAGCACAAUGCCAGUUCAGAACAAUAUGUAAGAAAGGAUCAAUAAAAAUGUAAAUUGGGGAUUGAUACAUUACCAAGUAGUCCUCUAAUAACAGGGAACUUUUCACCCAACUGCUUGACUUUUCCUUGAACAUCCCCAAACAAUGCCCUCUGAUUGGAAAGGGCUACCCUUGUGCUCUGAGCUUGGCCAAUUACCUCAUCAAUCUGGAAACAAGUCAUAGCUGUUACUUAAUAUAUUGUACAGGAUGAGCUACCUUUUUUACAUUGUUGUGCUAGAUAAACCAAAAAUCCUCAGAAAUGCAUACUCGUAAUGCUGAAGACAGAAAUACCACGAUUUCCUUCCUUUUUCCACUCAGACUACCUCAAUUAUUCUAGUUGUUUUUUCAUAACUAAUCAAAUGGUUGAAAGAUGAACUAGCAAUGAGAGAGAUUAGAUAGACCCUCCUCCAAACUUUACACUACAUCAAACGCCAUUGACAGGCAGAUUGUCAUGAUCAUGAGAUAACAUAAGUCCAGUCCAACUAAUGAUGAACAUGGCAUGCCUAUAGACAUAAAUUCUUCUAGCCAAUGAACAUCUAUGCGACUAUGCCAACCAGGAAACCAUUUGAUCAGUGCAAGUGUGCAACAACAACCUUAUUUUAGCUCAAGCCAUACCUGGUUAAUGCUGCCAUGAAUCGAGGCCCUCUCCCUGAGCAAAUGCACCCUCGGCGACAUGCCGCCAGUAGCCUAGACAACCACAACGAUCAAUCAGGCCAGCACAACACGAUAGCACAUUACAUUACAACCAUUUUGUGGAGUUAAUCAGUUAAACCAUUUUGUAGAGGGGUUUGAGGCAAGAACCUUGGACUCAGUAAUGUCGUCCCGCACAGAGCUGAGGAGAUCGGCGUGCUCCCUGAUGGAGCUCAGAUUCCCCCUCGUCCUCCUGAACUCCUGUGGCGAUCAGUUACAAGCAGUGUGAGGGGGAGGAGAGGUGAGGGAGUUGGGGGGGGGGGGCGGGGGGGCGGGCAGGGGCUAGGGUUUACCUGCGCGAACUCGUGGAGGAUGUCGCGGUGGCGGGCGAGCUUCUGCGAGACGGAGGUGGUGGGGGCGGUGGAGGCGGCGCAGCGGCUCAUGGCGUCGUUGACGUCCUGCAGCUUGUCGAGCAGCGACUGGAUCUCGAACUCCAUGGACUUCCAGGAGGAGCGCUCGCUCGGGGAGGAGGCGGAGGCGGCGUCGGCGGCGGAGGAGGAGCGCGCGGCGAGGCGCGCGUAGGAGGAGAGCUUGACGUCGAGGUCACCCUCCAGCUUCCGUGCCUCCCGCCGCAGCUCCUCCCACCCGGACUCCUGCAGCUCCAGCGCCGCCGCCGCCGCCGCGGCGUCCGACGCCGACGGCAUCAUCGCCGGCGAGAUCCGGCCCGAUUCGGCUGCG
rnacentral:sRNA from 1 species